rnacentral:rRNA from 1 species
AUUGAACGCUGGCGGCAUGCCUUACACAUGCAAGUCGAACGGCAGCGGACCUUCGGGUGCCGGCGAGUGGCGAACGGGUGAGUAAUGUAUCGGAACGUACCUUUCAGUGGGGGAUAACGUAGCGAAAGUUACGCUAAUACCGCAUAUUCUGUGAGCAGGAAAGCAGGGGAUCGCAAGACCUUGCGCUGAUUGAGCGGCCGAUAUCAGAUUAGCUAGUUGGUGAGGUAAAGGCUCACCAAGGCGACGAUCUGUAGCGGGUCUGAGAGGAUGAUCCGCCACACUGUAACUGAGACACGGUCCAGACUCCUACGGGAGGCAGCAGUGGGGAAUUUUGGACAAUGGGGGCAACCCUGAUCCAGCCAUGCCGGGUGAGUGAAGAAGGCCUUCGGGUUGCAAAGCUCUUUCGUCCGGGAAGAAAUCGCAUCAGCUAAUACCUGGUGUGGAUGACGGUACCGGAAUAAGAAGCACCGGCUAACUACGUGCCAGCAGCCGCGGUAAAAC